ACGUGGGUGACCCCAUAGGGUCGUGGUGGCCCCAUAGGGACGUGGUGGCCCCAUAGGGAUGUGGGUGGCCCCAUAGGGACGUGGUGGCCCCAUAGCGACGUGGGUGGCCCCCCCAGGAUGCUGGCGGCCCCAUAAGUGUGGGGCGCGGUGCGGGGGGGCGGUGUGGGGCGGUUGUGGGUCGGGGCGCGACGCUGUUGGCUGCUAAUAAAAAGAGAGAGCGACCGCACGCCUCCGCCCCACGGAUGGACCCACAGCGCUGCCCCAUAGCGACCCACAGAGACCCACCGAGCCCCAUAGAUCCCAUAGNGAGGAGGAAGGGGUUGGGGGCAGCCAGGAGGAGCUUGGUGGCAUCUUGGAGGAGUUUGGGGACAAGUAAGGGGAGCUUGGUGGCAUCUUGGAGGACCUGGGUGGCACCUUGGAGGACCUUGGAGACAAGUAAAGGCACCUUGGUGGCAUCUUGGAGGACCUUGGGGACACCAAAGGGGACCUUGGUGGCAUCUCAGAGGGGUUGGGGUCACCCAAGAGGAGCUUGGUGGCAUCUUGGAGGACCUUGGUGGCACCUUGGAGGACCUUGGGGACACCUAAGGGGACCUUGGUGGCAUCUUGGAGGACCUUGGGGACAAUAAAGGGGACCUUGGUGGCAUCUCAGAGGGGUUGGGGUCACCC
rnacentral:lncRNA from 1 species